UCUGAUGGUCUCUCUCUUGUGAUCGUCCGGAUUUGACAUCGGAAUGGAGAUGCAAUCGCCGCAAGCGUCAGCGGCCUCGAUUGCUCUUUUCUAUUCCAAGUCCAUGGUUCGAGGGAGGUUGAAGUUCCUCCAUCUCAAAGACGUGCAUGCCUCGACAAGUUCGUUUCGCUCGCUUCCUCCAUUUUCUCUUAAAGCUGGAACUUUGUCUGCCUGCAACACCCGUGCCUUCGUCAACGCCACUGACUCCUCAUCUGGUCUCGGGAUUCUUUUUGGUGCGAGAUUUGGAGAGUCACUGGAAGAUCAGAUCAUGGCCAUGAUUUUAACUGCUUUCAUUCCUCAAGUCAUUCAAGUGUUAGAUGGAAUCACCAAACGAGAGGAAAUUUUACUCUUGGGCGUGGCUGAUGAGGUUAAAGGUCUGGUAAGGAGGCUAGAGGAGCUAAGGAACAUUCUCCAGGAUGCUGAACGCAGGAGCUAUAAUGAAAAGGAGAUACAAUGGUGGUUAACCAAGCUACGAGAUAUUAUAUAUGACAUAGAUGAUAUGAUUGAUCAAUGCAAAAUUGAGGGGGAGAGUCACAAGAGAUUGUUGGAGCAGCAAGCUCAAUCAUUUAGGUUGCGCAUUAGCACUAAGUGUUCUGUGUCACUAUUUUCUUUCUUCAAUCGAUCUUUCCACCACGAGAUUACUGAAAGAAUCAAGAGGCUAAGUUCUAGGCUAGAUCAAGUAAUUAAAGAGGCUGCAAAGUUCCAAUUAAUAUCAUCCAUCCAUGGAUAUGAAGUUAGCCUGACAAACAAAUGUAUUGUUAGAGCAAUGGAUCCUGAAAGUGUAGAAUUUAAGUUCAAGAAGGAUGCAGAAUCUAUGUUUAAGCUACUGACUAUGGAGGAGCGGAUGAAUCUCUUGGUGAUUACUGGUGUUGGAGGGAUAGGAAAGACCAGGCUAGCUCAAAAGAUCUAUUACGAUGAGAGAACAAAAGCUCACUUCCAAGUUAGAAUCUGGAUAUGUGUCACUCAGCAAACCACAUUUAUCGACAUGCUGAAGCAGAUAAUCACUGGUGCAGGGCAAACCUACGGCGAAGCUCAAACAAGUGAACAACUAGAAAUCGAACUGAAGAGGGUCUUAGAGCAUAAGAAGUUUUUAUUGGUUCUGGAUGAUGUUUGGAGCAUACAAAUUUGUAAUGACUUACUGCAAAGAUCAUCACAGAACAUAGUUUCUGGUAGUAGGGUUCUGAUUACUACAAGAAACGAAACUCUUGCAAGAGAACUUCCUGGAGCACAUCUUCAUAGAAUGAAACCUCUGUCAACCAAAGAAGGAUGGUCAAUGCUCCGCAAGGAGCUGUAUCAGGAAGAUCAUGUUCAGGAGAUGCAGGAGCUGAAUAACAUCGGUAUCAAGAUUGUGAGGAAAUGCAAAGGUUUUCCUCUAGCUAUCCGCGUAAUUGCAGGAGUCCUUAGAACCAGAGGGUGGAGCUCUGAAGAAUGGGAGAAGGUUUUCCUUGAUCCAGCAUGGUCAUCCUUUGAUCUUCCAAAUGAUGUUACAAGAGCUCUAUAUUUGGCCUACAAGGACCUACCAGCUAAUUUAAGACAAUGUCUUGUCUAUUGCUCCUUAUUUCCAGAGGAUCAUUUGUUUGAUCAACAAUCCAUCACCAAGUAUUGGAUAGCUGAGAGACUGGUAGAAGAAAAAGAAAGAUCAACAAUUGAAGACACAGCUGAAGGCUAUUAUAAAGAGUUGAUUUGGAGGAACCUCUUGGAACGAGAUUUUGGUCAGCAAGAUGCUCAUAAGAUGCAUGGGCUUCUUCGCUUUCUUGCUCAUUUUUUGGCAGGAGAGGAGAACUUGUUUGGAAAUCUUGAUCUAAUGGAUGCAACCUCAACAAAGCCUCGACGCCUAUCAAUUGUGGCUAAGGGGCUUAUGGCAAUCCCAACAGAACUAAAAGAGCAAAAUUCUUUGAGAACAUUGUUGCUUUUUAGGAAUCCUUUAUCAGGGAAAAUUCUUGAUGAUUUUCUUCAAGGACUAAACCACCUGCGUGUCUUAGAUAUUCAUGGCACCGAUGUUGAUAGCUUACCAGAUUGCAUUGGAGAUCUUAUACAUUUGAGGCACCUAAAUGUUUCUUCUACAAGAUUAAAACAGCUCCCUGACAGUAUAGAGCGACUCAUAAAUUUACAGUUCUUAUCUGUACGAGGUUGUGAAUCAAUGACAGCGCUGCCUCAACAUCUGGUGAAGUUGCAAAGCAUAAGGAGUUUGGAUCUUGUAGGUACUCAGGUCAAUUGGUUGCCUGUUGGUGUUGGUAAACUUGAAAACCUUAACUCACUUUUAGGAUUUCUUGUGGAUUCUGGCAGUGAAGGUAUUUUGAUGUCUACACUAGAUGAUCUGGGACCUCUGACAAUGCUCAAGUAUCUUCUGUUACAGAAAUUGGAGAGAGUAUCCAAUGGUGCAGAAUCAGCUAGAGCAAACUUGAGAAGAAAGAAGUAUCUCAAGAACUUAAGCAUGCAUUGGUCACUUAAUAUUGCAGAUGCUCAACUACUUGAAGUGGACAAAUUCAAGGAGGUGCUCGAGGCGCUAUGCCCUUCAUCAAGCCUGGAAGAGCUUGAAAUUAUGGGAUACCCUGGUCUUGAUCUUCCCAGUUGGAUUUCCACAGUGAAAAAACUUACUAAAUUGGUUCUUCACAGGUGCUCAUCAAUCCAACAACUUCCACAACUAGGCCACCUUCCCCACUUGAGUUUUCUAUAUAUAUCAGGUGCCACCGCUGUCACUAAAAUUGGCACAGAAUUCUUUGGCUUGGAUGCAUGGCCUCCAUUCCCAAAGCUCAAUACUUUGGUCAUGGAGGAUAUGAUCAACUGGGAAGAUUGGCAAUGGCAGUUGGAAGAUGGUGAAGCUUUACCCUGUCUAAGAGAACUGCAGCUUGUCAACUGCUAUAAGUUACCAUCUCUUCCUGAUGGCCUGCGGCAUGCCACAGCCUUAACUGUUUUGGCGAUGGAUGGUGCUAAUCGACUUAUGAAGAUCGAGAACCUUUCUACCAUCAGAAAAUUGUCAGUGUCUAGCAGCUUCAAUCUUGUUGAGAUAUCCAAUCUUUCUUCACUUGAAAAUCUCAAAGUCAGCAACUGUUCAUCUUUGAAGAAGUUUGAACAUUUGGUUCAUCUGCAACAACUAAAUGUGAUAGAUGAAUCAAUGAAUAACCUUCCAGAGGGCUUAGGAGAAUAUGCAACAAAAGAUCUUCGAUGGCUGGAAUUGGAAUGCAAUGAAGAUAUGUUCAAGAGUUGUCAUCAUGGUGGCUCAGAGUGGCAUAAGUUUCAGCACAUUCAGGAUGUACAUAUCCACAGCAAAGAUCGAUAUAUGUACUUCUCCUACGGCAAGUCGUUACAAUAUUGUGAAGAAGCAACUGGUUCGGAGUCCAAUUUGGCCAUUGUUCCUGUUGUUUCUAACACCCCUUUAACCAAUACGUCCCCUGUGGCCAUUCCAAACACUGAUAUGGUUACAAAUCAAGGACACUUUUGUUUCUCCCCUCAAAAACUUCUACUCAUCCUGUAUAUAUACUUAACUAUUUAUAUCCUGUUUGAAUCUUUUUUCUUGUCUCCAACUCACCUUUCAUACCUUGGAUCAAGUCUCAUUUCCUUUCUGAUUGAUGUCAUCUUCUUCCUCAUAAGUUUACCUCUUUGCAUUAUGCGCGACACGUUUGGUUCCCUCAGCUCUGUUGUUAGUGCAGCCUAUAAACUGUUUGAUAUGUUAGUCAAUGUUGCCAAUUACAUGGAUGCUUCCAUAGGUGCAGUUGUUGAACCUGGUGUAGACUUUCUAUUUUCUUCCUUUUCAUUCAGCUCCAUCGUUGUUCUCUCAUGGCUCAUCGCUUCAUAUGGUGGUUGGUUUCAUCAAUAAACUGAGCUGAAACGUGUUGUGCUCUAUGUUAGUGGAAAUGAACAAGAAAAAAACAAGAAAGACAGAAAAAACCUACCACUGAACUUGAAAAGGAAGUCGUAGAAUUUUAACUGGUGGUAACUGGUAAAGAGCACAGAUGAUAAGAUACAAAGGCAGUCAAGAGAUAGGGAGAAAAAGGCAUCAAAAGAUGAUGCCAUGCCAUUAGCUAGCAUCGAGGUGAAGGUCAUGGCAGUGGCACCAUGCCACUGCCAUACUUGCAGGCACAGGUCGCUUUCUCUCUUUCUACUUUCUGGUCCUUUACGAAGGAAAAAGAGAAAAAUGAUUCCAAUCCCAUCCCUUAUCUGCCCCACACACCACACCAUCCCAUCAAAGCCAGCACACAACAUGCUGCCCCAGCCCCCAGCAGAGGCCUUCCUUGUUUCACCAACAGGGAGCAUCUCUUUCAUUUCUCCUUUCAUUUUUUUUCUUUUUUUACUUUCACCAGUCUGUUCAUUAGGGUGAGAAACUCGGAAGAAAGUAGAGGAGAGCAGCGGCUCCUGUGUUCACUGCCUGCAAUGGUAGAAGAGGAAGAACUCCCAUUGGAAAGUACAUUACUGCACAGCCUUUUCAACAGUUGGACUCUGCAAGACCAGACAUUGACCAUUCUGUCUACAAGCAUCACAUUUAAGCAAUUUUAAGCCUUUUGCAUCAAGAGAAAACCACAACCAUGCAUGAAUGAUAGACACAGAUAAUGUUACAGCUUUUUUGAUACCUGAUAGGCUGACAGCUCGCAGUUUGAAGGCAUUUGGUGCUGACUGUCAAGUUUCCCUCCUCCAUGCUGCAGUCAAGAAACUUGUACCUUGGAAUUAGUAUAUUGCAACUUGGAGAGAAAUAGAGAGAGGGAGAUAAAUACCCUCUGUUGAAGCACAAAGCCGAAGGUGACCGACCACCUGCCCUUUCAUUUCUUGUUCCUCUUGUCUCUUACAAGUAUAACCAACAGGGGAGUGGAGAGAAGACACUCUGAGUUUUGACAGUAAAAAUAAAAAUAAAAACCAAAAGUCUGGUUUGAGGAGAUCAUG